GCCUGGCUGGCUCAGUCAGAAGAGCGUGAGGCUUUUGAUCUUGGGGUUGUGAGUUUAAGCCCCACGUUGGGUA
rnacentral:tRNA from 1 species